GUAGGGUAUAUAAUUACAUAAAUGGGCCAACAAAACCCGGAAUUAAAGCCAAAAACAAGUGGGCUGAAAUAUACAGAUUAGUCCAACUACAAAGUAUACCGUAUAUACAAGUAAUAUACACUAAAUAUACAGUAAAAACUCAAUGUAUGUGUAUGGGAUUUGAAGCUAAAUAAUCUUGUAGCUCAACACUCCCCCCUCAAGUUGGAGGGGGAAAACACCUUCAACUUGGACAACAAGGGAUGCAGAAUGGUGCCAGGGAGUGGUUUGGCAAGAAGAUCAGCUAGCUGACGAGAAGUGGAUACAUGCGACAGUGUAAUAAGCCCAGCUGCCAACAAAUCACGCACAAAAUGACAAUCUACUUCGAUAUGUUUUGUCCGCUAAUGAAAAACAGGGUUUUUGACAAUAUGUAGCAGCCUGAUUAUCACAUAAAACAGAAAAAGGGAGAGAAACAGAAAUACAAAGGGCAGUUAGCAAUCGGGAAAGCCAAGACAGUUCAGUAACUACCUUACUGAGAGCCCUAUACUCAGCUUCAGCAGAAGAUAAAGAGACAACAGACUGUUUCUUAGACUUCCAACUAAUCAAGCAUCCACCCAAAAGAACACAAAACCCAGUCACAGACCUGCGAGUAUCAGGACAGGCAGCCCAAUCACUGUCAGAAUAAGCAUGGACAGAUAAAUCAGAACUGGCAGAAUAGAAUAAACCCAAAUGCAUAGACCCUUUAAGAUAUCUGAGAACAUGUAAAGCAGCAGUCAUAUGAGGGACUCUGGGACACUUCAAGUAUUGCACUGUCAGAAUAGAAUAAAACCAAAUUCAUAGACCAUUUAAGAUAUCUGAGAACAUGUAAAGCAGCAGUCAUAUGUGGGACUCUCGGACACUUCAAGUAUUGACUCAGAUGCUUAACAGCAAAGCAGAUGUCAAGCCUGGUGUGAGUGAGAAAUAAGAGCUUCCAAACAAUGCUCCUAUAUUGAUCAGGACAGGAAAGAAUGUCACCAGAAUCAGCAUGGAGUUUCACAUAAGAUCCAAAGGGCAAACAACAAGGGAAACAUUCAUACAGUCAAACUGAUGCAACAGGUCAGAAAUAUAUUUAUGCUGAUUAAGCAGCAUUCCACCAGGACCUACAGACAUCUCAAUGCCCAUAAAAUAAUGCAAAGACCCAAGGUCUUUGAUCCUGAACUGAUCAUCCAGAAACAACUUCAGGGCAGAUAGCUCAUCAUUGUCAUCCCCAGUGAUGGUAAUGUCAUCUACAUAGACUGCUACAAUAACCAGACGGCCAGGCUGGCCUUGGAUAAACAGAGAAUAAUCAUUCAUGGAAUGACUAUAGCCUCUGGAAUAAAGGGCAGAGGACAACUUGGCAUACCAUUGUCUGAAUGUCUUCCUCAACCCAUAUAGUGAUUUUUUCAAUUUACAUACAAGAGAAGGAGAUGGAGAAGAAAUAGAAUCAGAAGAAGAUACAGAAACAGAUAAACUUGGAGGAAGCUUCAUAUAAACUUCCUCAUCCAAAUCACCAUGCAAGAAAGCAUUGUUAACAUCAAGUUGAAUAAGUUUCCAAUGCUUCUUGACAGCCACUGCAAUAAGACACUUCACAGUGGACAUUUUAACCACAGGAGAAAAAGUGUCAGUAAAAUCAACCCCUUCAAUUUGAGUAUCCCCUCAACAGCCACUGCAGUAAGACACUUCACAGUGGACAUUUUAACCACAGGAGAAAAAGUGUCAGUAAAAUCAACCCCUUCACUUUGAGUAUCCCCUCUAAUAACAAGUCUGGCAUUGUGUCUUUCAACACUACCAUCAACCUUAUACUUGAUCUUAUAAACCCAUUUGCAGCCAAUGGGUUUCUUACCAGAAGGAAGACCAAGUAUAGUUAGCAUCCAAAGCAUCAAACUCCUUUCUCAUGGCAUCCUGCCAUACUGGAACUGAUGCAGCUUGAGAGUAGUAAAGGGGUUCAGUCUCCAGAGGAGAAGAAGAAGACCCAGAAAAAGCAGGAAGGUGGCAAACAUAAUCUUUAUGGUAAUAAGGGGGGUUGUGCUGUCUGCCAGAUUUCCUGGGAACAUUAGUUGAUGUGGAAGAAGGUAAACCAGGAGGGGAGAUGUCAGGGUUGAAAGGAGGACUGGAAAGUGGAUUUGAAGAAGGAGAAGCUGGAACAGGAGGUGGAGGUGGAGAGGAAGAGAUUGGAAUAGAGAAGUCUUGGUCAGAAGAUGAAUUUUCAAUAGGAGGAAUAGAAGGAAAAGAGGAAGAGAAAGCAGGAGGAACGGAGGUGACAGAAGAGGCAGAUUUGAAAGGUAAAGAAGUUUCAUGAAAGACAACAUCCCUGGACACAAAGAGGUGGAGGUGGAGAGGAAGAGAUUGGAACAGAGAAGUCUUGCUCAGAAGGAGGAAUAGAAUGAAAAGAGGGAGGAAAAACAGGAGGAAUAGAGGUGACAGAAGAGGCCAAUUUGAAAGGAAAAGAAGUUUCAUGAAAGACAACAUCCCUGGACACAAAACACUUUUUGAAACUUAGAUCAUAUAGUUUAUAACCCUUUUUAGCAAAAGGAUACCCCAGGAAAACACAUGAAAUGGCCCUAGGCUUUAACUUGUCCCUUUGAGGAAUGNN
rnacentral:lncRNA from 1 species